GGGUUGUGAGGUUAAGCGACUAAGCGUACACGGUGGAUGCCCUGGCAGUCAGAGGCGAUGAAGGACGUGCUAAUCUGCGAUAAGCGUCGGUAAGGUGAUAUGAACCGUUAUAACCGGCGAUUUCCGAAUGGGGAAACCCAGUGUGUUUCGACACACUAUCAUUAACUGAAUCCAUAGGUUAAUGAGGCGAACCGGGGGAACUGAAACAUCUAAGUACCCCGAGGAAAAGAAAUCAACCGAGAUUCCCCCAGUAGCGGCGAGCGAACGGGGAGCAGCCCAGAGCCUGAAUCAGUGUGUGUGUUAGUGGAAGCGUCUGGAAAGGCGCGCGAUACAGGGUGACAGCCCCGUACACAAAAAUGCACAUGCUGUGAGCUCGAUGAGUAGGGCGGGACACGUGGUAUCCUGUCUGAAUAUGGGGGGACCAUCCUCCAAGGCUAAAUACUCCUGACUGACCGAUAGUGAACCAGUACCGUGAGGGAAAGGCGAAAAGAACCCCGGCGAGGGGAGUGAAAAAGAACCUGAAACCGUGUACGUACAAGCAGUGGGAGCACGCUUAGGCGUGUGACUGCGUACCUUUUGUAUAAUGGGUCAGCGACUUAUAUUCUGUAGCAAGGUUAACCGAAUAGGGGAGCCGAAGGGAAACCGAGUCUUAACUGGGCGUUAAGUUGCAGGGUAUAGACCCGAAACCCGGUGAUCUAGCCAUGGGCAGGUUGAAGGUUGGGUAACACUAACUGGAGGACCGAACCGACUAAUGUUGAAAAAUUAGCGGAUGACUUGUGGCUGGGGGUGAAAGGCCAAUCAAACCGGGAGAUAGCUGGUUCUCCCCGAAAGCUAUUUAGGUAGCGCCUCGUGAAUUCAUCUCCGGGGGUAGAGCACUGUUUCGGCAAGGGGGUCAUCCCGACUUACCAACCCGAUGCAAACUGCGAAUACCGGAGAAUGUUAUCACGGGAGACACACGGCGGGUGCUAACGUCCGUCGUGAAGAGGGAAACAACCCAGACCGCCAGCUAAGGUCCCAAAGUCAUGGUUAAGUGGGAAACGAUGUGGGAAGGCCCAGACAGCCAGGAUGUUGGCUUAGAAGCAGCCAUCAUUUAAAGAAAGCGUAAUAGCUCACUGGUCGAGUCGGCCUGCGCGGAAGAUGUAACGGGGCUAAACCAUGCACCGAAGCUGCGGCAGCGACACUAUGUGUUGUUGGGUAGGGGAGCGUUCUGUAAGCCUGUGAAGGUGUGCUGUGAGGCAUGCUGGAGGUAUCAGAAGUGCGAAUGCUGACAUAAGUAACGAUAAAGCGGGUGAAAAGCCCGCUCGCCGGAAGACCAAGGGUUCCUGUCCAACGUUAAUCGGGGCAGGGUGAGUCGACCCCUAAGGCGAGGCCGAAAGGCGUAGUCGAUGGGAAACAGGUUAAUAUUCCUGUACUUGGUGUUACUGCGAAGGGGGGACGGAGAAGGCUAUGUUGGCCGGGCGACGGUUGUCCCGGUUUAAGCGUGUAGGCUGGUUUUCCAGGCAAAUCCGGAAAAUCAAGGCUGAGGCGUGAUGACGAGGCACUACGGUGCUGAAGCAACAAAUGCCCUGCUUCCAGGAAAAGCCUCUAAGCAUCAGGUAACAUCAAAUCGUACCCCAAACCGACACAGGUGGUCAGGUAGAGAAUACCAAGGCGCUUGAGAGAACUCGGGUGAAGGAACUAGGCAAAAUGGUGCCGUAACUUCGGGAGAAGGCACGCUGAUAUGUAGGUGAAGUCCCUCGCGGAUGGAGCUGAAAUCAGUCGAAGAUACCAGCUGGCUGCAACUGUUUAUUAAAAACACAGCACUGUGCAAACACGAAAGUGGACGUAUACGGUGUGACGCCUGCCCGGUGCCGGAAGGUUAAUUGAUGGGGUUAGCGCAAGCGAAGCUCUUGAUCGAAGCCCCGGUAAACGGCGGCCGUAACUAUAACGGUCCUAAGGUAGCGAAAUUCCUUGUCGGGUAAGUUCCGACCUGCACGAAUGGCGUAAUGAUGGCCAGGCUGUCUCCACCCGAGACUCAGUGAAAUUGAACUCGCUGUGAAGAUGCAGUGUACCCGCGGCAAGACGGAAAGACCCCGUGAACCUUUACUAUAGCUUGACACUGAACAUUGAGCCUUGAUGUGUAGGAUAGGUGGGAGGCUUUGAAGUGUGGACGCCAGUCUGCAUGGAGCCGACCUUGAAAUACCACCCUUUAAUGUUUGAUGUUCUAACGUGGACCCGUAAUCCGGGUUGCGGACAGUGUCUGGUGGGUAGUUUGACUGGGGCGGUCUCCUCCUAAAGAGUAACGGAGGAGCACGAAGGUUGGCUAAUCCUGGUCGGACAUCAGGAGGUUAGUGCAAUGGCAUAAGCCAGCUUGACUGCGAGCGUGACGGCGCGAGCAGGUGCGAAAGCAGGUCAUAGUGAUCCGGUGGUUCUGAAUGGAAGGGCCAUCGCUCAACGGAUAAAAGGUACUCCGGGGAUAACAGGCUGAUACCGCCCAAGAGUUCAUAUCGACGGCGGUGUUUGGCACCUCGAUGUCGGCUCAUCACAUCCUGGGGCUGAAGUAGGUCCCAAGGGUAUGGCUGUUCGCCAUUUAAAGUGGUACGCGAGCUGGGUUUAGAACGUCGUGAGACAGUUCGGUCCCUAUCUGCCGUGGGCGCUGGAGAACUGAGGGGGGCUGCUCCUAGUACGAGAGGACCGGAGUGGACGCAUCACUGGUGUUCGGGUUGUCAUGCCAAUGGCACUGCCCGGUAGCUAAAUGCGGAAGAGAUAAGUGCUGAAAGCAUCUAAGCACGAAACUUGCCCCGAGAUGAGUUCUCCCUGACUCCUUGAGAGUCCUGAAGGAACGUUGAAGACGACGACGUUGAUAGGCCGGGUGUGUAAGCGCAGCGAUGCGUUGAGCUAACCGGUACUAAUGAACCGUGAGGCUUAACCUUACAACGCCGAAGCUGUU
rnacentral:rRNA from 1 species